CCAAUAUGAAUGAUAAGUCAUACUUUUUCAAGAAAGCAAGAGAACACAAAGUAAUUUUGGCAGAAUGGCAACUAAUGCUGCUCCAAAGCUUUUUUUGUGUAUUCUUUUUGUGUCUUUUCUUUUCACUUCAGAGGCAAGAAGUGGCACCGUGCAUAGGACUUCACUAAUGUCUUGCGAAGACAAAAAAGAUCAAAAUUGUAACAAUAAUGAAUGCAAGAAAGUGUGUGUCGAAAUUAAACACUUCCAAGUUGGUCACUGUACUCCCACAAGAGGUUGUUGCUGCUACAAUAAUAAUAGGUUAAUUUGAGUGCUCUUCUCAUUAUGUUUGUUCACAUGCAUAUGUAUUUUGAACAAACAUAUCUUUUUAUGUAUUCCGUGAUAAAAAUAAGUUUGUGGAGAAUUAUUGAAAUAAAAAGUUAUUAAAGUCUUUUUUACUUUAAUA